GAUGAACGCUGGCGGCGUGCCUAAUACAUGCAAGUCGAGCGAAUGGAUUAAGAGCUUGCUCUUAUGAAGUUAGCGGCGGACGGGUGAGUAACACGUGGGUAACCUGCCCAUAAGACUGGGAUAACUCCGGGAAACCGGGGCUAAUACCGGAUAACAUUUUGAACCGCAUGGUUCGAAAUUGAAAGGCGGCUUCGGCUGUCACUUAUGGAUGGACCCGCGUCGCAUUAGCUAGUUGGUGAGGUAACGGCUCACCAAGGCAACGAUGCGUAGCCGGCCUGAGAGGGUGCUCGGCCACACUGGGACUGAGACACGGCCCAGACUCCUACGGGAGGCAGCAGUAUGGAAUCUUCCGCAAUGGACGAAAGUCUGACGGAGCAACGCCGCGUGAGUGAUGAAGGCUUUCGGGUCGUAAAACUCUGUUGUUAGGGAAGAACAAGUGCUAGUUGAAUAAGCUGGCACCUUGACGGUACCUAACCAGAAAGCCACGGCUAACUACGUGCCAGCCGCCGCCGUAA
rnacentral:rRNA from 1 species